rfam:Sporolactobacillus laevolacticus DSM 442 Contig001, whole genome shotgun sequence.
CGAGUAAAGCAGAGGCGCCCGGCUUCUCACCUGUUCGACGCAGAAAUGCUGUUGCCAGGUAUGGAUUAUGGACUGAAUGGUUAAUGCGGGCGUUUUUACGCCCGUAUUUUUGUUUGCUC